rnacentral:misc_RNA from 1 species
UGUAUCCUUCUGUUUCUUCUCCAGUGUGCUCUACGUCACUGCACCACCGUCGUCCUGAGCUUCCUCGCCGCUGUCGCGCCACGCGCCACAUCCGCGUAAGCAUACGUACAUAUAUAUGCACACACACGCACACACAUAUAUAUGUAUAUGCAUGUAAAAGGAGAGAAAGAAGAGGAUUGUUGCGCACCAAUCGUUUCCCUAGACAGCCUCUUUCACGUAUAGACCGCACAGCCUAUCCGGGUACUCGUGUUUCUGUCAGGGGUGCCUCCUCUGCGUGCCUCCGCCCAUCCGUAUAUAUAUAUAUAUGGUUGGGUGGGUAGUUGAGCAUCUUACUAGCGACUGUGUGAGUGGCGCCACGCAUACAAUCGCACGAAUUAUCUCUAUCACUCCUACAUUACAGUAGUGAAGGGGUGCAAUGGGCUCGUGUUGCAGUGCGAGUGACACCGCCGACGACACAGCGUCGGCCGCACCGCCCGCCCCGAGCAAGGUCAAGACUACAGCAAAGCCGGCAACCCCUGCUUACCCUUCCCCCAGAAGGUCGAUUGUGGGCCUGGUCCCGCCAGACCCUCCCAGGGAUUUUCAGCCCAGCGUCUCCGCAAACUCUGUUCCGCGUAUGUAUGGCGCAGAGAAAGCGCCAACGACUGCCGCUCCGGCUGUAGGCCCGCCUGCUGCGCAGACAGACCGCAGGAUCCUCACCUCGCCUCCAUCGCGACCGUUUCCGACGCUGCUCGCGGCGGAAGUGAAUGAGUCAAGUGGCAACUUAGACGCGGAGUUCUCCAUUGCGCUGGAGCCGUUUCCGGCCACGAAGAACGUCACCGGCACUCCAGCUGAGAUCCAAAGCAGCGCCCCCGCGCAGCAGAAAUCAGUGGGUGACGCGGGGAAGCAGCAGCUGGUUGCUGCCGCCGCGCCGACAUUAUCCUCUGCAGAUGUGACUCCUGAACGUGCCACGGCGCCGAUGGUGAUACAGAGCGAGGAGGGUUGUACUCGUUGUCCAAGCACGGCGCAGGUGUAUGAGGUUCCACCAACCCCAAAGGAUGAGAGCGGCAAGACGCUACCAGCCGAUGACGCUCGAGUGCUGCAGCGUGUACCACCACCUCCGCCGCCACCGGCCGCCUCCACUGACUCCGUCACUCGCAAGGAACCGAAUCUGGAGAGCGAGCAGCGCGGCGUCGACGAGGCGCAUCAAGCCCAACACGAGGCGACGGACAACGUGGAGCAGAAGGGCUCUGUGGCAGCGGCAAACGAAGACGAGGAGGCGGCUGAAGCGAAAGAGCCCAGCCUGCUAGCUGACAUUAUACGCAACCAGGAGGAGGGCCAGCAGCGCUAUCCCACAGCGCUUUCCAUUGAUGCCGCAAAGGAUGCACCGGUGGAAAUGGGCAUGGGCAAGGAUGCGUCACCCUCGGCCGCGACAGCCGAGACGCACGCCAAGGAGAAGCCAAAGAGCUCCUCGCCACCGCCUCCGGAGAACGUCAAUGACAUGAACGGCAAGGCCUGCAAAGUCGACGAAGCUAGCUCAGCGCCGAAGAUGCCCAUGGUCACCACCGUUGCCCCAGAGCAGGUGGACGGCCCCAUGUCUAGUUCAGUCUACAAGAUUCCGCAGCAUUAUGCGUCGCCAGCUCUCCAUAAGGCAGAGGCGAUGCAUGGCAUCUCAUCGGAAGAAGUCGAUGGUUUCAUUAACCUGAUCACACCCGAGCAGCAGCCCCAGGAAGCACAGGAGAUGGAUUCCAAUCGCAUUCGAUUAUCGCCGCUGGCGUGCCCCAUCCAGGAGCUCUCGCAGGUGGAGCCCAUCAGCUGGAGUAAGGCGAGCCUGCUGGAAGGCUCACCGCUGCACUGGGAAACUUCGCAUGGGGCCGACGUGUCACCGAGCCUGUACCGCUCACUACGCCUGGGCACCGAUUUGCUGCGGCAAAAAGAUCGCGCAAACGCAUUUAGCGUUGCCGACAAGAUCGGUGCCGCCGCCGCACUCUCUGAGUUCGGCUCAGAAGAAGCAGAAGAGAAGGAGCAGGGCGUGGCGUGCGGCCUCGGAGACGACGCGGAGAAGCCGAUCGCCUUCACCGCCACCAGCGAGGUCGAGCUCGAACGUGAGGCGGCGGAGGCGAGCAGCGAUGAAGAAAGCACACUCUCCAUGGACAAGGACCGUGUGUAUACAAUGGGCAACACAGAUGCGGAGGGCAGGUCGCAGCCUACGAGGAGCGUGGAGUCGUCCGUUGCGCCGGUAGCACCGAUAGAAGCCGCCGACAAGCACAUGGCCAGUUCAGAGCAGCACGCGACCUUCGCAAUGCUGACCGCUGAGAAUUUCGUCUGGACCGGCGCUGAGGCUCCCCGUCGCAUGCCCCCACCGCCUCCAUACCACCAUAGCGACGAAGCUCGUGACACACAGCUGUGCUCACGGUCUGCGCCGCCAAGCAUAUUGUCCCCUCCGCCUGCAUGAUAGACUUCUGCUUUGCCGAAGCAAGACGAAGAAGAGAAAACAGCGACUCGUGUUUGUGUGAAUGCAUGUGCGUAUGUGUGUGACCUUCUUGGACUCACGUGGUGAUCAUGUGAAGCGGAGUGUUCCGAGAACGGGGGUGGGGGGGGGGGUCUCCACGCACUUUUCCACGAGCGUUGGCGCUGAUUUUCGGAGGCUUGCUGGAAGCCUCCACAGACCGCAGAAUUAGUGGCGCUUGUCUAAGUCAUGCAGCGUCAGUGUCAUCCACACGCAUACACACACGUAGGCGGUACCAAUCACCGUUUUCUCUCUUCUCUGCAUGUUCGUCAAGGCAGUCUCGGCCGCCGCGUCUGCCAUUCCUCUGUCCGCUCGUCCUCCAAUCAACUUCUUUCAUUUCUAUUUCGCUUUCUCGGCACGGCUAG